rnacentral:rRNA from 1 species
ACUGCGAGUGAAGCGGGAAAAGCUCAAAUUUAAAAUCUGGCGGUCUCUGGCCGUCCGAGUUGUAAUCUAGAGAAGUAAUGCCCGUGCUGGACCGUGUAUAAGUCUCCUGGGAUGGGGCGUCAUAGAGGGUGAGAAUCCCGUCUUUGACACGGACUACCAGUGCAUUGUGGUAUGCUCUCAAAGAGUCGAGUUGUUUGGGAAUGCAGCUCAAAAUGGGUGGUAAAUUCCAUCUAAAGCUAAAUAUUGGCGAGAGACCGAUAGCGAACAAGUACCGUGAGGGAAAGAUGAAAAGAACUUUGGAAAGAGAGUUAAACAGUACGUGAAAUUGCUGAAAGGGAAACGCUUGAAGUCAGUCGCGUUGGCCGGGGAUCAGCCUUGCUUUUGCAUGGUGUACUUUCUGGUUGACGGGUCAGCAUCAAUUUUGACCGCUGGAAAAAGACCUGGGGAAUGUGGCAGCUUCGGCUGUGUUAUAGCCCCUAGUCGCAUACAGUGGUUGGGAUUGAGGAACUCAGCACGCCGCAAGGCCGGGUUUCGACCACGUUCGUGCUUAGGAUGCUGGCAUAAUGGCUUUAAGCGACCCGUCUUGAAACACGGACCAAGGAGUCUAACAUGCCUGCGAGUAUUUGGGUGGAAAACCCAAGUGCGUAAUGAAAGUGAAAGUUGAGAUCCCUGUCGUGGGGAGCAUCGACGCCCGGACCAGAACUUUUGGGACGGAUCCGCGGUGGAGCAUGUAUGUUGGGACCCGAAAGAUGGUGAACUAUGCCUGAAUAGGGUGAAGCCAGAGGAAACUCUGGUGGAGGCUCGUAGCGAUUCUGACGUGCAAAUCGAUCG